rnacentral:tRNA from 1 species
GGUUGGACAGAUGGCUCAGUGGUUAAGAGCACUAACUGUUCUUCCAGAGGUCCUGAGUUCAAUUCCCAGCAACCA